rnacentral:tRNA from 1 species
GGAGAGGUGGGUGAGUGGCUGAAACCAGCAGUUUGCUAAACUGUCGUACUGGGAAACUGGUACCGGGGGUUCGAAUCCCCCCCUCUCCGCCA